rnacentral:rRNA from 1 species
UACAGAGGUCUUAAGCGUUGUUCGGAUUCAUUGGGCGUAAAGGGUGCGUAGGCGGCGCGGUAAGUCGGGUGUGAAAUCUUGGAGCUUAACUCCGAAACUGCAUUCGAUACUGCCGUGCUUGAGGACUGGAGAGGAGACUGGAAUUUACGGUGUAGCGGUGAAAUGCGUAGAUAUCGUAAGGAAGACCAGUGGCGAAGGCGGGUCUCUGGACAGUUCCUGACGCUGAAGCACGAAGGCCAGGGGAGCAAACGGG